GCUGGGCACAGUCAUGCAUACCUGUAGUCCCAGCUGCUCAGGAGCCUCAGGUGGGAGGAUUGCUCGAGCCCAGGAGUUCUGGGCUGUAGCACGCCAUGGCAAUCAGGUGUCCUCACUAAGUUUGGCAUCAGUGUGGUGACCUCUGAGAAGGUAACACAAGGUUGCCUAAGGAGGGGUGAACUGACCCAGGGAGAAAACGAAGCAGGUCAAAACUCCUGUGCAGAUCAGUAGUGGUAUCGCACCUGUGAAUAGCCACAGCACUCCAGCCUAGGGAACAUAGCAAGACCCUGUCUUU
ensembl:misc_RNA Metazoa_SRP Metazoan signal recognition particle RNA